ACGACACAUAGAAAAACAUUUUAAUUAGGUACCAUCCUAUAAUUAAUCUAGCUAUAAUGUAUGAGUGUUGUUGUUCAGCACCAGACAUGCUGGAUCGAUCGACUCCUCAAUAAUGAGGUGCUCGAUACUCAUAUCUUUAGUGUGAUAGUUAGUAAUCUCAUGAUCCGUAAGGAGAAAUAUUAAGUAAGUUGCAUGUGCAAUUAAUUCCACAUUGUUUGGGAAAUGUCAAAUGACUUAAAUAUAUUGAUUGGUGUUACCUAUAUCAGCAAGGUACAUGCA